AGUGGCUGAGGGAGCUGGUGAUGUUCAGCUUGGAGAGAAGGAGGCUCAGGACUGACCUUAUCAUUCUGCAGCUCCGUGAAAGGAAGUUGUAGCCAGGCAGAAGGGAAGGACUGGCAGGUACCCCCUCAGUGUGAAAGAGGCUGUAGCUGGGCAGGAAGGACAGAUAGACCUGGCAGUGACCUACUACAGGAACCUGCAGUCCUGCCUGGGCAGGACAGUGCCUGUGCUGCACUCUGGAGAAGCCAAACCUCAGAAGGAUGAGAGCAGGACACAUGACAUGAGCUUUCACAUCUGGAAGGAAAAGCAGGUCCUGGCCAUGCCCUGCUGCUGUGAGAGGCUCACCCAGCUCAGCUGCAGCAGUGCAGGAUGAGAACUGGAGCUUUAGCAGCACUCGGUGCAUUUGGCAGGAGGGUCCUGUACCACCGGGAAACUCUUGUCUGCAUGCAAAAGUGCAUCUAUGGGGUGUUUUGUGUCCCUGUGCAAUGAAAACCACAGUCACCGGCCUGCAGGGACAGUGGGAGCAGCAGGCUUGAGCUGUCUGAAGGUGGAACAUUUGGCAGUGGGGUCUUGCACUUUCCCUGGAAAACUGGAGCCUGUGCAAGACCUUCCUGUUAAUGUCCAGAGCCAGAGCCGCCUCCUCUGUGCCUGGGCGAUGCAAGCAGCCCUUUUAUCUGGGAGACCUGCCAGGCAGCAGAGGCAGGCAAGGAAACAGCAAAGUUAAACUGGUCUGAGGUUGACUCAAGCCAAUGUGAACUGGUCUGAAGUGGAAUAACAACCUGAUCCUAUCAGCCAUUUCUCCUGGUACGACCCGUCAGUAGCCUUCCUGCCUCAGCCAGUGGCAGUGUUACGAGGUAUGGCUUAAU